ACUCCUACGGGAGGCAGCAGUGGGGAAUAUUGCACAAUGGGCGCAAGCCUGAUGCAGCCAUGCCGCGUGUAUGAAGAAGGCCUUCGGGUUGUAAAGUACUUUCAGCAGUGAGGAAGGUGGGUAUGUUAAUAGCAUACUCAUUUGACGUUAGCUGCAGAAGAAGCACCGGCUAACUACGUGCCAGCAGCCGCGGUAAUACGUAGGGUGCAAGCGUUGUCCGGAAUUAUUGGGCGUAAAGAGCUCGUAGGCGGUUUGUCGCGUCUGCUGUGAAAACCUGGGGCUUAACUCUGGGCCUGCAGUGGGUACGGGCAGACUAGAGUGCAGUAGGGGAGACUGGAAUUCCUGGUGUAGCGGUGGAAUGCGCAGAUAUCAGGAGGAACACCGGUGGCGAAGGCGGGUCUCUGGGCUGUAACUGACGCUGAGGAGCGAAAGCAUGGGGAGCGAACAGGAUUAGAUACCCUGGUAGGAUAGCGU
rnacentral:rRNA from 1 species